AAAUGAUGAUUCGGGCAAUUUUGUUGGAGAUCCUUGAAUCUUUCCCAAACUUCAUACAAGGAUUCCCCAUUAUGUUGGAGGAAGUCAAUGAUCUCCGUGGUUAACCG